rnacentral:lncRNA from 1 species
CCAUGCAGCCCCUGGCCCCGCAAAUGCAUAGACUCCCCCAUUAUCGACACGUCCCAUGAGAAGGUGUAUUUGGUAGAACUGAUGAGCAAACAUCCACGCAUCAUUAUGGCCCAACGCACCUGGCUCACAGUAGGGCUCACUCUCUGCCUGAGUGUCACAGUAGGGCUCACUGUCGCGGUGAUGUGGGCUUUGACAAGGUGCGUGGACUGAAUCCAGCACUGCAGCCUCAUCCAGGGCCCCCAGACCCUCCGAGCUGCCCCUCUUCAUCCCUCCCUCCUCACCAGCCCUUAGUAACUAUUGAUUUCCGUACUGGCCCCAUAGUUAUGCCUUUUCCAGCAUGUCAUGCACAGCAGAUCCUCAAACAACAUCAUUUUGUCCAACGCUGUCUCGUUAUAAUGUUGAUGAGAAAAAGAACAUUGAUUCCCUGUCAUCUCCUCUGUGUGUGUGUGGAACUCGCAUGUUCUCCUCUUGUCUGCGAGGGUUUUUUCCAGGUGC